rnacentral:rRNA from 1 species
UACAGAGGGUGCAAGCGUUAAUCGGAAUUACUGGGCGUAAAGGGUGCGUAGGUGGUUGAAUAAGUUAAAUGUGAAAGUCCCGGGCUUAACCUGGGGAUUGCGUUUAAUACUAUUUAGCUAGAGUACUGUAGAGGAAGGUGGAAUUUCCAGUGUAGCGGUGAAAUGCGUAGAUAUUGGAAGGAACAUCAGUGGCGAAGGCGACUUUCUGGACAGAUACUGACACUGAGGCACGAAAGCGUGGGGAGCAAACAGG